AUUAAUAUAGUUUAAAAAAAACAUAACUUUUUCAAAGUUAAAAUAGAAUAAAUCUUGUUAAUA
rnacentral:tRNA from 1 species